CCCUUAGAUGUUCUGGGCCGCACGCGCGCUACACUGAUACAUGCAACGAGUUUAUAACCUUGAUCUGACGGUCUGGGUAAUCUUCAAACUGCAUCGUGUUAGGGAUCGAUUCUUGCAAUUUUUAAUCGUAAACGAGGAAUUCCUAGUAAACGCAAGUCAUCAGCUUGCAUUGAUUACGUCCCUGCCCUUUGUACACACCGCCCGUCGACUCUACCGAUUGAAUGGUUCGGUGAAAACUUUGGACUGUGGCAUUGUCCUUCAUUGGACUUCGCCGUAGGAAAUUGUUUAAACCUCAUCAUUUAGAGGAAGAAUAAGUCGUAACA
rnacentral:rRNA from 1 species